CCGAGGCUAAAAGUCUACUCACCGUGCCUUGGUGAGAGACAGCGAGAGACUUGCCAUCGGUAGGUUUUUACCCGAACGAAACCAGAAAAAUGAAAAGAAGAAAAGAAAAAGGAGAGAGAGAGAGAGGGAGGGAGAGACCGUAGCAAGAAAAAGAAAGGAAGAUGAAAAAAAUGUAAAAAUCAAAGAUCUGAUCUUCAAUCGAUCUCGACAUCGCUAGUUUGUUGAAUAUGGGAAUGAGGGAAGCAUUGUACUGCUCCAAGCCUGCUUAGAUCAAGUGAAAUUUCAGAGCGAAGACUUUCAGUCAAAGCCAGAUCUUCUAUUAGCUAUCUUUAGAUACUUUUUGGGUAGACUAAAUUUCAUCACAGUUUUCUGUGAAGCACUGAGAAGUAAAGCGAUGAGUGAAGGAUUUCUAGAAGGUCUCUCCAAGCAAUUGCAUUUGUCUACACCUGAGAAAAUUGUUGUUGGUCUUGCUCUGUCAGAUUCAGGAAAUACGAAUUUCAGGAUUAGAGGUAAGUUGAGUUGCUUGGAGGAAUGUAUCGCACGCUCCAUGAAUGACAUGGUGUAUUUGUAUGACAUGAGUUGUGUUUUUAGCAUUCCUUAAGUUGCUUGAUUUAGAGAUAAGUUUUGAAACAUCUGUUCUAAGAUACCUUUGUACAAAGAUUCCUAUUGCAUUUGUUUUUUCUCCCAUGGUGUUUUGCAUUUAAAUCUUGGUCAUUUUUCCAAGGCAAAAUUUCUUCAUGGCACAUAUUGAGGAAUUAUGUACAAAGCUUGCUUCUGUUUCUCAUGAGCAAAUUCAUAACAUUGUUUUAUUUCUCUCUUAGUCCGAGGGCCUAGCAAAGCAUGUGGAUUCUUUUACAAAGAUGUUGUCCUUGUUAUAACUCAAAGAGAGGACUCAUUUUAUACUAGCCCCAGUACUGGUGGAUGAUUCAUCUGAUGUCAACUCAUUGAGGUAUUUGGAAUCAUUCUUUGAGUGCACUGAGAAUGAUUUUGAUGCUGUUCUAGCUGAGAUAGAGA